UACGUAGGGUGCGAGCGUUAAUCGGAAUUACUGGGCGUAAAGCGUGCGCAGGCGGUUCGUUGUGUCGGUGGUGAAAGCCCCGGGCUCAACCUGGGAAUGGCAAUGGAAACUGGCGGGCUGGAGUAUGGCAGAGGGGGGUGGAAUUCCGCGUGUAGCAGUGAAAUGCGUAGAGAUGCGGAGGAACACCGAUGGCGAAGGCAGCCCCCUGGGCCAAUACUGACGCUCAGGCACGAAAGCGUGGGGAGCAAACAGG
rnacentral:rRNA from 1 species